CCUACGGGAGGCAGCAGUGAGGAAUAUUGGUCAAUGGUCGGGAGACUGAACCAGCCAAGCCGCGUGAGGGAGGAAGGUACAGAGUAUCGUAAACCUCUUUUGUCAGGGAACAAAGGCGGGGACGUGUCCCCGGAUGAGUGUACCUGAAGAAAAAGCAUCGGCUAACUCCGUGCCAGCAGCCGCGGUAAUACGGAGGAUGCGAGCGUUAUCCGGAUUUAUUGGGUUUAAAGGGUGCGCAGGCGGUCUGUUAAGUCAGCGGUCAAAGCCCGGGGCUCACCCCCGGCCCGCCGUUGAAACUGGCAGUCGCGAGUUGGAGAGAAGUAGGCGGAAUGCGCGGUGUAGCGGUGAAAUGCAUAGAUAUCGCGCAGAACUCCGAUUGCGAAGGCAGCAUGCCGGCUCCACACUGACGCUGAGGCACGAAAGCGUGGGUAUCGAACAGGAUUAGAUACCCGGGUAGUC
rnacentral:rRNA from 1 species